GUGAGCGGGGGGUCGGGAGGAGGAGGAGGGAGGAGGGAGGAGGAGGAGGGAGGAGGAUGGACGCCGUGGGGGUUGUUGUCCGUUUCUUUUUUUAUCAAACGUGGGAUACAUUGAUAAUGAGCUAUCUAAUAAAUAACCCAAAGACACUCAAAUGAAUCAAUAAAAACAGAGCCUUGGCUACGGCUCAUUUACGUUACGUCUACAUUGAGGGCAUUUAGCAGACGCUUUUAUCAAAAGCGACCUACAAUAAGUACAUUUGGCAGAAGAACAAUCGCUAGGUUUACCAAUUUCCUGUAUGCAACAAAGGUAGCUAGGACAAGAGGCUACACAACACAAUACGACAUACAAUGAGUCUAUACAUUAAGUGCCAGGACGUACAACGUACAAUAAGUAGGAGGGCUGUGCAGUCUAGGCGAGCUCUGAACAGGUGAGUGUUGAGUCUUUAGUGGAAGCUGGUGAGCGUCUCUGCAGUCCUUUACAUUGGCAGGGAGCAGAAGACUUAGGCACAAUCCCAUUUCUUCCCCUUACCCCUCUCCCUUGUUUUGAAGGGGUAAGGGGUAGAAAUGGGAUGGGGCCUUAGUUCUUACUCCGGCAGCACACAUAUGGUAGCUUGACGGAGAAGGAGAGCCAGCGAGGUUGAUGCAUUGAAAGAGACAGAAACUGGCCCCUCGGUAGAUAUCGUCACUGGUGCGCUGAGCACAUAAGCGAUACGUCUUGUGGUGCCCCGAGGUUUGAUUCCCACCUGUGAUCCUUUGCGACAUUUCAUUCCUCCCUCUUGUUUAAUCUACUUUUCUGUCUCGCUUCACUGUCAGGUCUGUAAAGGCACAGAAAAGCCCAGGCAACUUUAUAUAGAAAAAAAGAGAGGCUGCUGAAGCCUGACAUUUCUUUUGGCCGUUUUCAACCAUGGCCACCGGACAAAAUGUUCCCAAAAGUGCCGGAGGCUAAGUGUUGAAUAAUUGUGUCCCAGAGCCACCAUCCUUCCCCCUCCGGCCUCUACUUUAAAAAGCCCUUUCACUGCCCCCUCCCCCCCCCCUCCCCCUCCCCUCUCUACAGUCCGGUGGGCUACAGAAGUUCCAGCGCACGUCCUCCUCCACUUCGGAGGAAUCCCUACGCUUCCACAGCUCCAGCUCCCUGGACCAGGAGUCCAGAGAGGCCCCAGAAGCUGCCAAAGAGGUGGAGCUCUCCUCCUCAGCACCGACCAAAGAGCCCUUCCUGCGCAUAGGAUCCAAGCGCAUGGGCAAAAACUUCAACCCUUUCUCCUCCUCCUCCUCCUCCACCUCCUCGUCAUCCAAGCCCCAGGGAGGGGACAAGGAUGCCCAGCUCCCCAACCGACUGCUCCAGCUGGCCAAGACCAAGCCCAAGAAGGAGAAGAAGAAGAAGGGGAAAGGAGGAGAGCGGGAAGAGACAGGUACCACUUAAAACGUAAACAGAAAAACUCUUCCAUUCAAUCUGCCUCCUUGUUUUAGUUCUGCUUGGUUUGGCCUCACGAGCCAGACCUUAGAGGAAUCAGCUCAAAUCUCCUGUGAACGAGGCGUCUCAUUUUUUUUAUGUCUCAUGCUCGUUUAAACCAAUCAUGCUGCUGAAUCUGUAAGCGGGAAAUUGGCUAUUAACGGGGAACCCAUCCGUGGCCAGCACUGGUUAACUAUUCAAAAAACGAUUAAGGUUUAACAUGUACAGUGGGUAGACUGGCCACUAUAAAAAUACACUCAUUAAAACCCCUUCUCAAAGCUUUAUCCUCGUGAUGAGCUUCCCCUCUGUGGAAUAUAACAGGAACCGAGCCGUGUCCAUGACCCUUUGAGCUUUUGGUUCCCCCC
ensembl:lncRNA